rnacentral:rRNA from 1 species
UACGCAGGGGGCGAGCGUUGUUCGGAUUUACUGGGCGUAAAGGGUGCGUAGGCGGGUCUUUAAGUCAGGGGUGAAAUCCUGGAGCUCAACUCCAGAACUGCCUUUGAUACUGAAGAUCUUGAGUUCGGGAGAGGUGAGUGGAACUGCGAGUGUAGAGGUGAAAUUCGUAGAUAUUCGCAAGAACACCAGUGGCGAAGGCGGCUCACUGGCCCGAUACUGACGCUGAGGCACGAAAGCGUGGGGAGCAAACAGG